rnacentral:rRNA from 1 species
AGCGAACGCUGGCGGCAGGCUUAACACAUGCAAGUCGAACGGGCUUCUUCGGAAGUCAGUGGCAGACGGGUGAGUAACACGUGGGAACGUGCCCUUCGGUUCGGAAUAACUCAGGGAAACUUGAGCUAAUACCGGAUACGCCCUUUUGGGGAAAGGUUUACUGCCGAAGGAUCGGCUCGCGUCUGAUUAGCUUGUUGGUGGGGUAACGGCCUACCAAGGCGACGAUCAGUAGCUGGUCUGAGAGGAUGAUCAGCCACACUGGGACUGAGACACGGCCCAGACUCCUACGGGAGGCAGCAGUGGGGAAUAUUGGACAAUGGGCGCAAGCCUGAUCCAGCCAUGCCGCGUGAGUGAUGAAGGCCUUAGGGUUGUAAAGCUCUUUUGUCCGGGACGAUAAUGACGGUACCGGAAGAAUAAGCCCCGGCUAACUUCGUG